AGAGUUUGAUCAUGGCUCAGAUUGAACGUUGGCGGCAGGCCUUAAACAUGCAAGUCGAGCGGAAACGAUGGGAGCUUGCUCCCAGGCGUCGAGCGGCGGACGGGUGAGUAACGCGUAGGAAUCUACCCAGUAGCGGGGGAUAGCCCGAGGAAACUCGGAUUAAUACCGCAUACGCCCUAAGGGGGAAAGGGGGGGAACUCUUCGGAGACCUCUCACUAUUGGAGGAGCCUGCGUUGGAUUAGCUAGUUGGUAGGGUAAAGGCCUACCAAGGCGACGAUCCAUAGCUGUUCUGAGAGGAAGAUCAGCCACACUGGAACUGAGACACGGUCCAGACUCCUACGGGAGGCAGCAGUUGGGAAUAUUGCACAAUGGGCGCAAGCCUGAUGCAGCCAUGCCGCGUGUGUGAAGAAGGCCUUAGGGUUGUAAAGCACUUUCAGUAGGGAGGAAUCAACCAAAUUAAUACUUUGGUGAAAUGACGUUACCUACAGAAGAAGAUCCGGCUAACUCCGUGCCAGCAGCCGCGGUAAUACGGAGGGAUCAAACGUUAAUCGGAAUUACUGGGCGUAAAGCGCGCGUAGGUGGUUUUUUAAGUGGGAUGUGAAAGCCCCGGGCUUAACCUGGGAACUGCAUUCCAAACUGGAGAACUAGAGUACGAUAGAGGGGGGUAGAAUUCAGAGUGUAGCGGUGAAAUGCGUAGAUAUUCUGAGGAAUACCGGUGGCGAAGGCGGCCCCCUGGAUUGAUACUGACACUGAGGUGCGAAAGCGUGGGGAGCAAACAGGAUUAGAUACCCUGGUAGUCCACGCCGUAAACGAUGUCUACUAGUCGUUGGGAAUCUUAGUAUUCUUGGUGACGAAGUUAACGCGAUAAGUAGACCGCCUGGGGAGUACGGCCGCAAGGUUAAAACUCAAAU
rnacentral:rRNA from 1 species